AUACGUAGGGUGCGAGCGUUGUCCGGAAUUACUGGGCGUAAAGAGCUCGUAGGUGGUUUGUCGCGUCGUCUGUGAAAUUUCGGGGCUUAACUCCGGGCGUGCAGGCGAUACGGGCAUAACUUGAGUACUGUAGGGGAGACUGGAAUUCCUGGUGUAGCGGUGAAAUGCGCAGAUAUCAGGAGGAACACCGGUGGCGAAGGCGGGUCUCUGGGCAGUAACUGACGCUGAGGAGCGAAAGCAUGGGUAGCGAACAGGAUUAGAUACCCUGGUAGUCCAUGCCGUAAACGGUGGGCGCUAGGUGUAGGGGUCUUCCACGACUUCUGUGCCGUAGCUAACGCAUUAAGCGCCCCGCCUGGGGAGUACGGCCGCAAGGCUAAAACUCAAAGGAAUUGACGGGG
rnacentral:rRNA from 1 species